AGAUACUUUAGACAUUUCUGUAUAAAAAUCAUGUUACCAGCAAACACAGGCAGUUUCACUUCUUUCUUUCCUAUCAGGAUGUGUUUGGUUUCUGCCUUGGCAAGAGCUGUCAGUCCUGCCAUAAAUAGAGUGGCAGGAGUGGGCAUCUUAGAGGAGAACUUACCUUCUGAGGUUGAGGGUAGUGUUAGCCAUGGGUUUAUCAAGCUGGCCUUGACUAGACUGAAGCUAAUUUUUCUCUAACCUGUUCACUUUCUUUUUAUGAAAAGAUGUUGCUUUCAAGGGUAGAGCUUCAGAUAAAGAUGAUAUUAUACAUGACCUAUCAUUACCUGAAUUCAGGUAAACUUAAUUGGCCAAAAAAGAAAUGAAUUUUAAAAUUUAGCAGUAUAAUUAAAUCUAGCAGAAGGGUUAUAUGAUUGAAAAAUUUCAUAGCUACUUCAGUUCUUGUCACCAAGUGUUUUUAUUCCUAAGUAAUGGCUCUUCUGCUGAGUUGAUAGUCUCACCAGAGUGUAAUUCCAGUACAUGUGCAUUGCAUUUUUAUUUCUGUAAUUAAUUGGAAACUGAAGUGGCUCAGUGAGAUAUUUACGGAUCAUCAGCCUGUAAACUUGGCUAUUGGUAACUUGUACUUAUUCCUCCAUCACAAAUUAAUUUUUUAUAUGGAUGGUAAGACAUACUUUUCCCUACUUUUAAACCCACACACAAUUUGUUGUAAUCACUGGUGUAUAGACAGAUAAGAACCAGCCAGGAAGUUAAUCCUGAAUUACAGAUUGGCUGAGUCAUUUCCAAAGCCACUCUGUUUGGGACUGGUGUGAAAUUCAUGAGUGCUGUAGAUUAAGCUCUUGCAUAUUUUUGCAUGAACAAAAAGCACAUGAAAGCAAGUGGGAAGGUGAUUUGGACUGUGGCAAACUAAAACUGGUAAACUCUGUGCUGGCAUAGCAUUGUCUUCUCAGAGGAUGUGUUUCUCCACAACCACACCCACGCACACUAAGGAAAUCUCUCCCCAAACAUGCCUGUCUUAGCUGACUGUGUCUUGGCAUCUCUAAAUCCUCUCAUGUUUUCAGUCCUUGAGCUUUAUCUAUUAGUUUCCUUUGGUUAUCAUAGUUGAUGUAAUCAUGUUCAUCUAGAGAGCAAAGGGAGAUUUUUAGAUACCUUUUCCCUGUUUAAAGUUCUAAGUUCUUAUAAUCAUUCCUUAUAGCUAUUUGAAAAACAACAAAAUCAGCACACAUAGGCACGUAUCUUCCAGACUAACUGAAAUCUUCAUGUGUGAACAUACUUCCUUGUGAUUUUUUUCCCUCUUUCUAGCUUAUAGACAGCCAAGAGUUCCAUUUUCAAAAAAUGAAGUAGAUUCAACAUUUAAUUCAUUUCAACAUUUAUUAAAAUUGCUUAUUGUACUCCAGACUUGUAAUUACAGAAAUCAUGAGUAGCUAUUUCUAGCUAUACAUAUAUACACACAGAACCUCAAACAUUGAAAAGAUGGAGUUUAUUUACCUGAUUCUGUGGAAAUGAGACAUUGAGUUUAUGUUUCCUAGGAGGUGCACGAAUUUCCCUUCUUGCUUGCAGAUACCAGCUGGAAGGCCUUUAUGACUCAGGUUCUUUUAGCAACAGCUCUUCUCUUUUGUUGAUCUCAGACAGUGAGAGUUUUCCCACUGAGUCAAGUACCCAGUGAGUCAAAUAGUUUUAGUAAACAAACAGUUAAAAGUUUUAAAUUCCAGAGGCACAAAUAUUUGGUUAUCAUAAAACAAGAAGGAAAGCACAGGAGGAAAACGUUUUAGUCUUUAUGGUAUUCUUUUUUCUUUUGAAAGCAAGAGGAACAUAGAAUGAUCUCUUUGUGUCCUUUGAGAACAUUUUUUGUUUUUUGUUUUGUUUUUUGUUGUUGUUGUUGUUUUUUGUUUUUGUUUUUGUUUUGUUUUGUUUUUUUGUUUGUUUUUUGUUUGUUUGUUUUUUUUUUUUUUUGAGACAGGGUUUCUUUGUAUAGCCCUGGCUGUUCUGGAACUCACUUUGUAGACCAGGCUGGCCUCGAACUCAGAAAUCUGCCUGCCUCUGCCUCCCAAGUGCUGGUAUCAAAGGGGUGCGCCAUCACGUCUUAAAAAAAAAAAAAAAGAACAUUUCUUUUUUUUUCCUUUUUUCUUUUGUUGAUUUUUAUUUAAUCUUCUCUCAUCCUGCCUGCAGCUUCCCUUCCCUCUACUCCUCUUAGUUCCCUGUACCUCCCAUGUCUUGCAGGUUACACCCCCAGGGACAUAAACCAAACAUCACACAACAAGAUACAAUAAGACCAGGCACAAACCUUCACAUCAAGGCUGGAUGAAGCGACUCUUUAGAAGGAAAGGAUUCCCAAGAAGAUGCUAAAGAAUCAGAGACACCUCUUCUCCCACUGUCAGGAGGACCCCAAACCAACAACUAUAAAAAUAUACAGAGGAUCUAUUGCAGACUCAUAUAGGUUGCCUCUUCUGUCUCUGUGAGCCCUAUCCUGCCUACUUGAUCCCAUUUGUCAUUCUCUCUCAGUGUACUCAACUGCUCUGGUUCCCACAAUUCUUCCUCUCCUUUCCUUUGUGAGGUUUCCUGAGCUCUGAGGUGGGGGUGCCUAGGGACCUAAUGGAGACCUUCAAUCUAGGCUCUCUCUUUGCUUAAUGUUUGGCUGUGGGUUUCUGCAUCUGUUCCUAUCAGCUGCUGGAAGCAGCCUCUCUGAUGAUGACUGGGCUAGGCACUGAUCUAUCUGGAUAGCAGAACAUCUUCAUGAUUCAUUGAUUUUUGUUGUUUUUGCUUUUACAGUUGUGUUUGUCCUAGGUCUCUGAACUAUCCAGCCUCCAAUUUCUGGUUAUCCAGUCAGUGUUCAUCAUGGGCUCCCUCUGCUGAUAUAGGCCUCAAAUUAGACCAGCCAUUGGUUGGCUGCUCUGACAAGUUCUGUGCCACCAUUCAGCACCAUAGCAGACAGGGCAGGUUGUUCAAAGUUUUUGUGGCUGAGUUGAUGUAACAGUUUUACCACUAGAUACCUUGCCUGGUUACAGAAUAUGACUGUAUCAGGCUACAUAGCCUUCAUUACUAGGAGUCCUUGCUUGGGUCACCCUCAUAGAAUCUUGGGAGUUUUCACUACACUAGGCUUCCCCAUUACCCCCAAGAUAUUCUCUAGUUCCAGUUGUCUCUCCCUAUAUAGUCUCCUCCCAUUCCUUCUACCCAACCUGAUCCCUUCUAUUCCUGUCCCCAUCUGUCCCCAGUUCACACACAAAAUCUAUUUGUUUCUUCUUUCCAGGGACAUCCAUGUGCCCAUGGUAGAGUCCCCAUUGUUAUUAAAUCAUCUCUGGGUCUGUUGACUGUAGCAUGGUUAUCCUUUAAUUUAUAGCUAAUAUCCAGUUACAAGAGAGCAUAUGCCAUGGUUGUUUUUAUGGGUUUGGGCUACCUCACUUAGGAUGAUUUUUUUUUCUUAUUCCAUUCAUUUGACUUCAAAUGUCAUUGUUUUCAACUGAAAAAUACUCCACUGUGUGUAUGUACCACAUUUUCAUUAUUCAUUCUUUGUUUGAGGGACAUCUAGGUUAUUUCUAGUUUGUGGCUAUUAUGCAAAAAGCUGCUCUAGACAAGGAUGAGCAUGUCUCUUUGUGAUAGGAUAGAACAUCUUUUAGGUGUAUGUCUAAGAGUGCCGUAGCUGAAUCUUGAGAUAGAUCAAUUCGCAAUUUUCUGAGGAACCACCAUAUUGAUUUCCAUGGUGACUGUAGAAGUUUGCACUCUCACCAGCAAUAGAAGAUUUUUCCAUUUGCUCCACAUUAGUCAUUAGGACAGGUGUAAGAUGGAAUCUCAGAGUAGUUUCAGAUUUGUAUUUCUCUGAUAGCUAAGGAUGUUGAACCU
rnacentral:lncRNA from 1 species